AGUGUGUAACUUAGCCAAGAAUGACUUGCCCGCAUACUGCUGUGGAUUAUUGUUCCACAUGCGCAUUAGUUUUGCGGGCAAGCAGUUCUUGGCAAAGCGUCCCUCUCU
rfam:Picea glauca, whole genome shotgun sequence.